rnacentral:rRNA from 1 species
UAGGAGCUGAAUUCAACGAUCCCUUCGGGGUGAUUUGUUGGACGCUAGCGGCGGAUGGGUGAGUAACACGUGGGCAAUCUGCCCUAAAGACUGGGAUACCACUUGGAAACAGGUGCUAAUACCGGAUAACAACAUGAAUCGCAUGAUUCAAGUUUGAAAGGCGGCGCAAGCUGUCACUCCAGGAUGAGCCCGCGGCGCAUUAGCUAGUUGGUGGGGUAAAGGCCUACCAAGGCAAUGAUGCGUAGCCGAGUUGAGAGCUUGAUCGGCCACAUUGGGACUGAGACACGGCCCAAACUCCUACGGGAGGCAGCAGUAGGGAAUCUUCCACAAUGGACGCAAGUCUGAUGGAGCAACGCCGCGUGUAUGAAGAACGUCUUCGGAUCGUAAAGCUCUGUUGUUGGUGAAGAAGGAUAGAGGCAGUAACUGGUCUUUAUUUGACGGUAAUCAACCAGAAAGUCACGGCUAACUACGUGCCAGCAGCCGCGGUAAUACGUAGGUGGCAAGCGUUGUCCGGAUUUAUUGGGCGUAAAGCGAGCGCAGGCGGAAUGAUAAGUCUGAUGUGAAAGCCCACGGCUCAACCGUGGAACUGCGUCGGAAACUGUCAUUCUUGAGUGCAGAAGAGGAGAGUGGAACUCCAUGUGUAGCGGUGGAAUGCGUAGAUAUAUG